CCGCCUGGGGAGUACGGCCGCAAGGUUAAAACUCAAAUGAAUUGACGGGGGCCCGCACAAGCGGUGGAGCAUGUGGUUUAAUUCGAUGCAACGCGAAGAACCUUACCUGGUCUUGACAUCCACAGAAGAAUCCAGAGAUGGAUUUGUGCCUUCGGGAACUGUGAGACAGGUGCUGCAUGGCUGUCGUCAGCUCGUGUUGUGAAAUGUUGGGUUAAGUCCCGCAACGAGCGCAACCCUUAUCCUUUGUUGCCAGCGAUUAGGUCGGGAACUCAAAGGAGACUGCCAGUGAUAAACUGGAGGAAGGUGGGGAUGACGUCAAGUCAUCAUGGCCCUUACGACCAGGGCUACACACGUGCUACAAUGGCGCAUACAAAGAGAAGCGACCUCGC
rnacentral:rRNA from 1 species